rnacentral:lncRNA from 1 species
CUUGCUGCGGGCAGGUGAGCGGACGGACGGACGGGACACACAGACAGUGCAGAGCAGUAAAGGGGGCUGCCAGGGCCCGGAGCCCGGCCAGAGCCGGGAGCCCUGAACAAACCCCAGCCCCACACCGGGCCCGGGCCCCCCUCCCCCAGGCUCACACCCCGUCCCCCCAGGCCCCAGACCUGCCACUCUAGGCCCCAGCCCCCUCCCACCGGGCCCCAGCCUCCUCUACGAGGCCCAGAUCCAUCCCCACCACGAGGCCCAGAUCCCCCUCACCGGUAGAAGGCCUCUUCGCCCAGCGGGUUCCAGUUGGCCGUGUAGCAGUCCAUGGUGCCGGCCGGAGCCGGGCCCUCCCGGCGACUCCGCUCAGCUCAGCUGGGUUCAGUUCAGGCUGCGCUUCCGCCCUCCGCGUGACGACGGACGCCACGGCGGCCGUCAUCUUGAAUGAGGGCAGGCCAGAGGGAAAGGGAAACGCCGCCAUCUUGAGUGAGGGCAAGAUCAGAGGGAAGGGGAAACGCCGCCAUCUUGAGUGAGGGCAGGACCAGAGGGAAGGGGAAACGCCGCCAUCUUGAAUAAGGCUGCAGCCGCCAUCCCAGCGCGGGCUCUGUCCCGUCCUGUCCGCAGCCCGAGUCCUGCGGUCGGUCUCACCCAGCCACCAGCAUUCCCCGUCCCCACUCACACCCCUGCGCACAGAGCUCAGCGGGAAUCUGUUCCUGCGUUCUGGGACAGCAGUGCCCCUGCCACCCACAGGCCCUGCCCCGCACCUCCGCCUUCCCCUGCCCACACAGCACUGACACAGCACGGCCGUGCUGGUGGGGGCACAGCACGAGGCCCAGCGGACCCCAAAAGGCCCCCAGCACCGAACUGUGGGCAGCCACAGUGCAGCGAUGCCAUGCGGGGCUGGGCAGGCCCCGAGGAAGGGCAGAGCAGCACAGCGCCGUGCUGGGCCGAGCUCACGGUGUGGGCCUGAGCCACAUGGAGGCGCGAUGCCGCACACAGAACAGCCACACGGCAUCCACGACACGCUCAUCGCACCCUUCCACAGUCUCUGUUUAUUUCUCAGUGCUACAGGAACAGGGGAGGUGUACAGCAUCACAGCUCUGUAGCCUCGCGCCUGGGCGAAGCGCAGCACCUCCCCGCACAGCGCCUUGGAGAUGCCACGGCCACGGUGAUCCUUGCUGACCGACAUCCGCUUCAGCUCCAGGGCCUCCCCGCGCUGUGCCGGGUCCUGAGGCGGGGCCACAGCCACCAUUCCCACCACCGCCCCGUCGGCCUCCGCCACCCAGAAGCAGGAAUCGGGCGCCCGCAUGUAGCUGCUGUCGAUGUCGCAGAGAUCAGUGAUCAGUGCCUCCUGAACGUAGGACGUGCUGAAGGAGCGCAUCAUGGGCCAGGUGGCCGCCAGCGCCAGCGCCACGGCUGCC